AUUGAACGCUGGCGGCAGGCCUAACACAUGCAAGUCGAACGGUAGCACAGAGAGCUUGCUCUCGGGUGACGAGUGGCGGACGGGUGAGUAACGUCUGGGAAACUGCCCGAUGGAGGGGGAUAACUACUGGAAACGGUAGCUAAUACCGCAUAACGUCGCAAGACCAAAGUGGGGGACCUUCGGGCCUCACACCAUCGGAUGUGCCCAGAUGGGAUUAGCUAGUAGGUGGGGUAAUGGCUCACCUAGGCGACGAUCCCUAGCUGGUCUGAGAGGAUACCCAGAGACACAGGGACGGAGACGCGGUCAAGACUCCUACGGGAGGCAGCAGUGGGGAAUAUUGCACAAUGGGCGCAAGCCUGAUGCAGCAAUGCCGCGUGUAUGAAGAAGGCCUUCGGGUUGUAAAGUACUUUCAGCGGGGAGGAAGGCGGUGGAGUUAAUAGCUUCACCGAUUGACGUUACCCGCAGAAGAGGCACCGGCUAACUCCGUGCCAGCAGCCGCCGUAA
rnacentral:rRNA from 1 species